GCCCGUUCGGGGGUACACGAGUGGCGAACGGGUGAGUAACACGUGGGUAAUCUGCCCUGCACUUCGGGAUAAGCCUGGGAAACUGGGUCUAAUACCGGAUAUGAACUCCUGCCGCAUGGUGGGGGUUGGAAAGUUUUUCGGUGCAGGAUGAGCCCGCGGCCUAUCAGCUUGUUGGUGGGGUAAUGGCCUACCAAGGCGACGACGGGUAGCCGGCCUGAGAGGGUGAUCGGCCACACUGGGACUGAGACACGGCCCAGACUCCUACGGGAGGCAGCAGUGGGGAAUAUUGCACAAUGGGCGAAAGCCUGAUGCAGCGACGCCGCGUGGGGGAUGACGGUCUUCGGAUUGUAAACCCCUUUCAGUAGGGACGAAGCGCAAGUGACGGUACCUGCAGAAGAAGCACCGGCUAACUACGUGCCAGCAGCCGCGGUAAUACGUAGGGUGCGAGCGUUGUCCGGAAUUACUGGGCGUAAAGAGCUCGUAGGCGGUUUGUCACGUCGUCUGUGAAAUCCCUCGGCUUAACCGGGGGCGUGCAGGCGAUACGGGCAGACUUGAGUACUACAGGGGAGACUGGAAUUCCUGGUGUAGCGGUGAAAUGCGCA
rnacentral:rRNA from 1 species